ACUUCCAAUAAACUGCAAAAUUAGCAUUCAGGUCUUUUUAAAAUAUGUUUUAAUUUUCCUGUUACUUGCUAACUAUGGUAGAUUGACCAUAGGUAAAUGCAAGUUUGUACUGUGACUUAGAUGUAAGUCCUCUGCCGGUUUAAUUCCAGGAUGUGUCAUUGCAGAACCAGGUGAAGUGGACCUAGGGGUCCUAAACAAGAUAGGUAGAAAACAAAUUCAGGGAUCAGGAAUGAUUUUUCAUGUUUUUAUGUUAGUCAAAUGUUUAUCUGAACUCUCAAAUAAUCAAAAUUAUUCUUGACACAUUUAAUAAUUCAAAAUUUUAUGAAUUUUUCACAAAUCAUUCAUGAAACGUGUGUUAAUCUGUUAUUCUAAUUCUUUUUGCUUAUUCUUACUAUUGUCUGUGAUUGACGUCUGAUCGAUUCUUAUUAUUGAACAAAUCACUUUAUAAAUUUAAUAAUAAUUUUAGAUUUUUGUUAUGUUAUGGUUCUUUCUAAUGUCUUCUUGUCUGUCUCUUCCCAAAUUUUUUGCAACUUCUUACUUUCUCCAUAUUUUGAUUAUUCUACCUAGCUGAGUCAAUUCCUCAGGACCAAACUUGUAAUAAUUUCAUGGUUCGAUAGAGAUCAUCCUAGACCUAGAAUUGCUGCAUUGUAACAGACAUUGUGAGAUUGCUACUGUGUUAGUUCAUGCGAGCCUACCAUUAAAACACAAUGAGCCUGUGAAAUUCAUGGCUCCUCCAACACUUGCAUUCAUGUGUGCGCUGUAAGUUGUUUGCUCUCUCUUGUCAAACGUGGACUACAGCUAGGUAUUUACUACGUUUAAGAGAGUUGUAAAAUAAUAGUCAUCUUUUUGGCAUUCUUACAUUAUGCCAAUAUGCACUUAACCAGGAUUUUACAAACAAUGGAUGACAAACAACAUUUGAGGGAACAUGCUUGUCAUGAUAAUGUUCUGUAAAUGGGAUUACUGAAUCUUUCAUCUGCAGGCACGCUGCAGCAUGAGGGAGGGUAUUUCCUCCUAACUCUUAGAAAUCUUAUUUGAUUAGAGAAAAUGGACGACUUGAAAGAGAAGCUAAACCAGCUUCUGCAACAGUGCUGCGAACUCUGCAACAUAGAACAAAUGAGAACCACGAGAUCUGUAGCAUUUUCUUCUCCUGGAACAGACGACAGAAAUCUUAGCGAUUCACAUUUUCCAGCCAGAGAGAAGUUUAAAUAAGCACCUCUAUUCCCCUAUAUCAAGCUUGUCGCUGGAUCUAAUGGACCAUUAAGCAGCGUCAGUGUUUCCCAGAGGGAUUUAUCCAGCCUUCUUUGAAUUCUGUGUAACAGAAGAAUUCUUCUGCAUUCAGUGCUAAGAGCAAGAAAAGUUAGUCUAGCUUCUUUUCCCCUUUGUACCAUUAAAACAGCCAUGCAAUGGAACUAUGUAUUCAUGUGAAUGGAUUGACAACCACCUUUCUUCCAACAUUUUUUUCCUUUUUUUUAGGAACUAGGAGACGAGAAAUCUUGUUUGGAAUUGGGUUGAGGGUGGAAUUCAAACAUAGGUCCUUGGUAUCAAACCCCAGUGACAUUACCAACUGCACUAGUUGGCACCCUCACCUCUCCUCCAACAUCUUGUUUA